GGCGUCGAGCGGCGGACGGGUGAGUAAUGCAUAGGAAUCUGCCCGGUAGUGGGGGAUAACUUGAGGAAACUCAAGCUAAUACCGCAUACGCCCUACGGGGGAAAGCAGGGGCUCUUCGGACCUUGCGCUAUCGGAUGAGCUUAUGUCGGAUUAGCUGGUUGGUGAGGUAACGGCUCACCAAGGCGACGAUCCGUAGCUGGUCUGAGAGGAUGAUCAGCCACAUCGGGACUGAGACACGGCCCGAACUCCUACGGGAGGCAGCAGUGGGGAAUAUUGGACAAUGGGGGCAACCCUGAUCCAGCCAUGCCGCGUGUGUGAAGAAGGCCCUCGGGUUGUAAAGCACUUUCAGCGAGGAAGAAUGCUUGUCGGUUAAUACCCGGCAAGGGAGACAUCACUCGCAGAAGAAGCACCGGCUAACUCCGUGCCAGCAGCCGCGGUAAUACGGAGGGUGCGAGCGUUAAUCGGAAUUACUGGGCGUAAAGCGUGCGUAGGCGGCUUGAUAAGCCGGUUGUGAAAGCCCCGGGCUCAACCUGGGAACGGCAUCCGGAACUGUCAGGCUAGAGUGCAGGAGAGGAAGGUAGAAUUCCCGGUGUAGCGGUGAAAUGCGUAGAGAUCGGGAGGAAUACCAGUGGCGAAGGCGGCCUUCUGGACUGACACUGACGCUGAGGUACGAAAGCGUGGGUAGCAAACAGGAUUAGAUACCCUGGUAGUCCACGCCGUAAACGAUGUCGACUAGCCGUUGGGGUCCUCGAGACCUUUGUGGCGCAGUUAACGCACUAAGUCGACCGCCUGGGGAGUACGGCCGCAAGGUUAAAACUCAAAUGAAUUGACGGGGGCCCGCACAAGCGGUGGAGCAUGUGGUUUAAUUCGAUGCAACGCGAAGAACCUUACCUACCCUUGACAUCGUGCGAACUUUCCAGAGAUGGAUUGGUGCCUUCGGGAGCGCACAGACAGGUGCUGCAUGGCUGUCGUCAGCUCGUGUUGUGAAAUGUUGGGUUAAGUCCCGUAACGAGCGCAACCCUUGUCCCUAUUUGCCAGCGAUUCGGUCGGGAACUCUAGGGAGACUGCCGGUGACAAACCGGAGGAAGGUGGGGACGACGUCAAGUCAUCAUGGCCCUUACGGGUAGGGCUACACACGUGCUACAAUGGCCGGUACAAUGGGUUGCAAAGCGGCGACGUGGAGCUAAUCUCAUAAAGCCGGUCUCAGUCCGGAUCGGAGUCUGCAACUCGACUCCGUGAAGUCGGAAUCGCUAGUAAUCGUGCAUCAGAA
rnacentral:rRNA from 1 species